CAAAGUGUAGCUUAAUAAAAGCAUCUGGCUUACACCCGGAAGAAUUCACCAUUAUGAACACUUUGA